UCCACAUUGGUGUAAUGGUAACAUAGCCGGUUUUCAUUGAAAACCACAUCAUACCCGGCGUAAGUCAUUCAAAUGAUGUUCAACUAUGUAUCUUCUAACCCCAAGCAGAGCCCGGGGUUCAAUUCCCCGAUGUGGAA
rfam:Cladophialophora immunda strain CBS 83496 unplaced genomic scaffold supercont1.7, whole genome shotgun sequence.